UUACUUGCUCAUCGCUUUUUUGGUUUGUAUUUUUAGGAAGGCAAAAAGGCUAAGAUGUUAGCGUUUGGCGUUGGACCAUCAAUUCGAGAGGAGGAUCUUAACGAGAUAGCAGGAGAAAAGAAAUGGUUUUACGUUGAGCAUUUCAAUCAAAUGAAGGAACGAAUCCCAGACAUUCUAAGUGUAGCGUGCAAGGACAAGAUGCCCGGUCCGUGGGAUUAGCCCUGUUCAUCCUAAAGAGCAGUUCAUGGGGCCUGUGAGGACUACAACUGGUUGUCGACAAAACAGAGUGCACAGGGACAUCACAACCUCACGAAGCUAACUAAAUUAGAGAACACGACGCAAAUAUGACGGGUGUUAGGUUUCGCAUGGGUCUAAUAAAAAUGGUGAUAAAAAAGCUAUUAAAAUGAUAUUUAAUAUUUUGUCCAGAGAUAAUAAAGUUGGUUCCCCUUAAUAGGAGUGAUAAGA